rnacentral:lncRNA from 1 species
ACAACUAAAAUCAUUGUUGUCAUCACAGUGAACAGCCUUCACUGAAUAAACUGGUCAGCAUGUCUUCAGUCAGUUGUAAUAGACUGUGACUUCCUUCAGUGUCCUGUUAAGUGGUUUUUUGAUCAGAGAAGAUGGGUUGCAGCUCUACCUAUUGCUCAAGCCACAGGCAUGCAAACUCAUAUUCUGUAGUUUAACUGAGAGACUUGGAACAAAUUUCAGCUCCAUCUAGCCCUGCUUACUUUGCCUACUGUGAUUCUGAUGGUCUGUUGAAGAAAGUUUUGGUUUUCUCCAGUUUCCUAUGACAUUAGGAAUCCAAGGUCAUCAAAACAUAUUACACUGUAGACCUAAAGACAUCUGAUCUGAAGAUAAUAAGAUACUCCUGUUGAAAGCACAUUUGACUGCAGCCCCCGAGAUGAAAGGAAAGAAAUAUUGCUUCUACACCAUUGCUUCAAAGAAGAUUGACAAAGGAGGGAAGAAAGGGGAGUCCCCACUUCAGUCAUGGCUGAAGUUAGUGCUGUUCCUGCAGCAGUGGAGAUGCCAUGCUGUUAGAGACACUGUCCUGUUGAGAGAAUUAUAUUGCCCUGCAGUAUGCAAGACAAAUGGACAAGUUACAGCCUAGCCCAGUCCAGAAAUCUGCUGGUCCAUGUGUGCUUGUGAAUGUAGUCAAUAUUGAAAUCACACAGGAAAAAAAAUAAGAAAUGAUACUUUAAAAGUGGAUGGUGAAUCAAGAAAACAGCAACAAAACCUGUAAGAAAACAAAGAGAGAAGCUGAAGUUAAAAGAAAAAAGUUGUUUUUCUUUUGGAAUACACUUUGAAAUGUAAUGACUUAAUGCAGACAGUAACAUCUGGUUCUGUGCAAAAGAAAAUUAAUCUGCAUCCCUUGAUAUCUUCAAAACAUGUAACAAAAUUGAAGAGAAACUUGAAGGCCACAUUAUUUCUGGUUGGUAUUCAGUUGUGUAUGAAAUAAGGUCUGCUUGACAGGUAAUAAAUUCCUGCUGAUGUCUGAAAACA